AACGAACGCUGGCGGCAUGCCUAACACAUGCAAGUCGAACGAGACCUUCGGGCCUAGUGGCGAACGGGUGCGUAACGCGUGGGAACCUGCCCUUAGGUUCGGAAUAACUCCCCGAAAGGGGUGCUAAUACCGGAUAAUGUCUUCGGACCAAAGAUUUAUCGCCUUUGGAUGGGCCCGCGUUGGAUUAGCUAGUUGGUAGGGUAAAAGCCUACCAAGGCGACGAUCCAUAGCUGGUCUGAGAGGAUGAUCAGCCACACUGGGACUAAGACACGGCCCAGACUCCUACGGGAGGCAGCAGUGGGGAAUAUUGGACGAUGGGCGAAAGCCUGAUCCAGCAAUGCCGCGUGAGUGAUGAAGGCCUUAGGGUUGUAAAGCUCUUUUACCCGGGAUGAUAAUGACAGUACCGGAAGAAUAAGCUCCGGCUAACUCCGUG
rnacentral:rRNA from 1 species